rnacentral:rRNA from 1 species
GCGUAUUACGGGUGCCAUACAUGCAGUCGAACGCACAGCGAAAGGUGCUUGCACCUUUCAAGUGAGUGGCGAACGGGUGAGUAACACGUGGACAACCUGCCUCAAGGCUGGGGAUAACAUUUGGAAACAGAUGCUAAUACCGAAUAAAACUUAGUGUCGCAUGACACAAAGUUAAAAGGCGCUUCGGCGUCACCUAGAGAUGGAUCCGCGGUGCAUUAGUUAGUUGGUGGGGUAAAGGCCUACCAAGACAAUGAUGCAUAGCCGAGUUGAGAGACUGAUCGGCCACAUUGGGACUGAGACACGGCCCAAACUCCUACGGGAGGCUGCAGUAGGGAAUCUUCCACAAUGGGCGAAAGCCUGAUGGAGCAACGCCGCGUGUGUGAUGAAGGCUUUCGGGUCGUAAAGCACUGUUGUAUGGGAAGAACAGCUAGAAUAGGAAAUGAUUUUAGUUUGACGGUACCAUACCAGAAAGGGACGGCUAAAUACGUGCCAGCAGCCGCGGUAAUACGUAUGUCCCGAGCGUUAUCCGGAUUUAUUGGGCGUAAAGCGAGCGCAGACGGUUUAUUAAGUCUGAUGUGAAAGCCCGGAGCUCAACUCCGGAAUGGCAUUGGAAACUGGUUAACUUGAGUGCAGUAGAGGUAAGUGGAACUCCAUGUGUAGCGGUGGAAUGCGUAGAUAUAUGGAAGAACACCAGUGGCGAAGGCGGCUUACUGGACUGCAACUGACGUUGAGGCUCGAAAGUGUGGGUAGCAAACAGGAUUAGAUACCCUGGUAGUCCACACCGUAAACGAUGAACACUAGGUGUUUAGGAGGUUUCCGCCUCUUAGUGCCGAAGCUAACGCAUUAAGUGUUCCGCCUGGGGAGUACGACCGCAAGGUUGAAACUCAAAGGAAUUGACGGGGACCCGCACAAGCGGUGGAGCAUGUGGUUUAAUUCGAAGCAACGCGAAGAACCUUACCAGGUCUUGACAUCCUUUGAAGCUUUUGAAGAUAGAAGUGUUCUCUUCGGAGACAAAGUGACAGGUGGUGCAUGGUCGUCGUCAGCUCGUGUCGUGAGAUGUUGGGUUAAGUCCCGCAACGAGCGCAACCCUUAUUGUUAGUUGCCAGCAUUCAGAUGGGCACUCUAGCGAGACUGCCGGUGACAAACCGGAGGAAGGCGGGGACGA